GACGGGGGGGGCAAGUGUUCUUCGGAAUGACUGGGCGUAAAGGGCACGUAGGCGGUGAAUCGGGUUGAAAGUGAAAGUCGCCAAAAAGUGGCGGAAUGCUCUCGAAACCAAUUCACUUGAGUGAGACAGAGGAGAGUGGAAUUUCGUGUGUAGGGGUGAAAAUCGUAGAUCUACGAAGGAACGCCAAAAGCGAAGGCAGCUCUCUGGGUCCCUACCGACGCUGGGGGUGCGAAAGCUGGGGGAGCGAACAGG
rnacentral:rRNA from 1 species